CCACGUCAUUUUCACAAACCGCGUUCGUUGGCAAACUUUAGCCUAGCUUUAUUAUGCAAAGCACUAGGGCACAGAUGUCGCCACGUCUCGCCGUCCUCAUGGUCGUUCUGCUUGUCAACCACCGUUUCACCACUGUACAAGGCUUUCACCAGGAAGAACCUGCAUGCGGUCCUAUAGAUGACGAGCUGAUAACGAGAAGUUGCCCAGGCUUGCCGGGUCAAUGCGAUUAUUACUGCAGGCACAGUUAUCUUGGGAAGUAUCGAUACGGUAAAUGCGCUGGACUCGGAUAUAAUCUUUGCAACUGCUGCUCCUAGCAAAAUCACUUUGUUUCCGAACAUAUUGGCCACAUUGCCGUUG